rnacentral:rRNA from 1 species
AUGUUCAACGACUGCAUCGCGGAUCUCGGCCUCCGCGAGCUUGAGCGGACGGGUGCCAGGUUUACCUGGACUAACCGCCAAGCCGACCCGACGCGGUCCGUCUUGGACCGCGUCCUAGUCUCCCCGGAAUGGGAACUUAGAUGCCCCUUGGCCUCGCUUCGUGCGAUUACCCGGAUUGGGUCGGACCACGUCCCUCUCCUUCUCUCCACUGCCGAUGAACGUCCUCCCACCCCGCCUCGCUUCAGGUUCGAGCUCUUCUGGCUCAACCAAGCGGGCUUCAGGGAGGCAGUCGGGACCAAGUGGACCUCUACGCGCUCCUCUCCCCACCGAUCCAUGUCAGCGGUGGACUCCUGGCAGUUCUGUGCCAAGAUCGGCCGCCAAUUCAUGAAAGGGUGGGGAGCUAACCUUGGUAGGGACCUCCGCGAACGGAAAAAAGUCCUCCUUUCAGCCAUCCAGGCCUUGGAUUACCGCGCGGACACCUCCGGGAUCUCCCCGGAUGAGUGGAUGGUGCGAUAUGAUCUCGAGGAUCAGCUCGCUACCAUCUACACGGAUGAAGAAGCUUACUGGAGGCUCCGCGGUACCCAGCGU